rnacentral:rRNA from 1 species
CCCUUAGACGUUCUGGGCCGCACGCGCGCUACACUGACCAGUGCAACAAGCAUCCGUCCUUGGCCGACAGGCUCGGGCAAUCUUUGAACGCUGGUCGUGAUGGGGAUAGACUUUUGCAAUUUUUGGUCUUCAACGAGGAAUUCCUAGUAAACGCAAGUCAUCAGCUUGCAUUGAUUACGUCCCUGCCCUUUGUACACACCGCCCGUCGCACCUACCGAUUGAAUGGUCCGGUGAAAUCUCCGGACUGGCGUGAGUCGGAGCAAUCUGACAAACGCCGGAAAGUUGAUUAAACCUUACCAUUUAGAGGAAGGUAAAGUCGUAACA